ensembl:lncRNA
UUUUUUUUUUUUUUUUUUUUUUUUUUUUUCCAGUGCAAACUCCUAGAAUCUGAACAUCCCCCUUAAGGAACUAUAGCAGGAUAGAGGCUAAGCUGAAGAGACCUGUGCAGCUGCUGCUCAGUCAGCCUGAUUCCCAGAGCCUGACCCAAAGCUCUUGCAAGCCCACAAAGAAAUCUCCCAAGCUGGCAGCACUGGGAAUGAGGUGCCAGCCCAGCCUUGGAUCAGCCCAGCUCUACUGGCACCCACAGAGCUGCUUCUCCCACUGGUUUUAGACAAGGUCUAACCCAAGAAGGCUGAUUGAUGCUCAGCUUCUGAGCAAUACAGCUCACCAUCAACAAGGCAACACAGCAGAGCACCAAAUGAGUACAAAACACCAGCUGGUCACUUUUGUGGCCCUUUAGGGCUACUUAGAAUAAGAAGGUGAGGUGGGCAAUCAGACUAUUCAGGUUUGUAAUGUCUGUCCCAGAACCAAUUACUGGAAACCUUUUUUUUUACUUUUUCCAAGCAAAAUCUCACUGACAUCUGUGAGACAGUUGACAUAAUAGGCUAUAAAGCCUUCAGGAUUAGAUCCCCGGUUAAUACAAAUUUGCCUAUUGAGCUUAUGAGAUAAAUUAAUCCUCAAAAAAGUGGGUUUAUUCCUUACCUGGGACCACUCCAUUAUCAGCUCCCCCAUCAUUUCCCUGGCCUGCUGAAAGCACAAAUCUUAGGUAAACAGCUCAGGGGAGUAAAAUGGGCACUGAGAUUAUUAGCACAGCAUCAUCAAGCUGAAAUAAUUCUGAGCAGCUGUCAAGACACGCUGCAAAUUCACAUGCUUGAAGUAGGAGCUAAACAAACAAAAAUACAACACAUCUCCACCUGACAUAACGCCCCAGCUGGCCUUUCCCAGGUACUCUCAGAUGCAGUUGGAUGCAAGCUCGGCUGGGAGUUGGCAAUGUGCAACUCACUAAUGCAAGCUGGGAGGUUUGCCAAAGUGAAGAAGGCAGGACAGAACUUACAGAGCAGAACAUUGUCCCAUCAUCAAAAACAGCAGCAGGGCAGGAUUAACCUAAUUUGUAGCUACCUUGGCUGCCCAUUGAUCCUCAUACACGCUCUCGAGAAACUGAGUGAAAUAAACUGCUGCAAAAUUGUUCUUGAAAAGUGGAUUUCCUCAGCACUCAGCUAUCAAGCGCUGGAGUGUUGUGGACUUUCAUCCAUGGUGGUUCCUUUCCGUACAGCUUGUGGACACCUUGGGCAGCUUGUGGGGAGGAAAGAGGAGGCAGCAGUUUCAGCUCUUGCUUAUAAAAGUAACAUUAAAACAUUUGCCAAAACGAAUUAUCUCAGUUUAUCUCCAAAAGAUUUUGCUUCACCUCUCCACACUUCCCAGCAUGCUGACCCCAACUCUCUGAAAAGUUAAAUCUAGGUAGAAGAAUGAAAAAAAAAAAUGCUUUACCUUCCACACUAUCUUUUAAAACACAGAAGGCACAAAGAUUUGCCACCACCACCGAGGGUAAAACCCCAGGCUGAUCCCUGUGUGAAUCCCGUUUAAAAAACAAACAAUCCACUUGGGGCUGGCAGGGAGCCAGACUGCGGGAUUGCCUUUGAAAACUUGCAUCUCAAUAGGAAAGCUCUGAGUAUUUUGAUCUGUUUUCAUAAAUGUAACAAUUUUCAUCCCUUGACUUUGUAGCAUAUUAUCGCUCCUUCCUUUCUACUAAGUUACAGAAACAGUGCAAAUGAAGGUUAAACAAGCACGGGUCGCUGUGGAUAAAAUACAGCAUUUCAAAAGAUUUAGAAAAGACAAAACCCGCUGCCUGUCUUAACUCCUGCCAAGAAACCAUUACAGGGGAUGGAGGCACGGCGAAAGCGCCCUGAAUGCCGCGUCUCAACAGCAGUAACAACCACACAUCUCGGAUCUAUUGUGCAGCUUUAUUUUUAUAGGACCUAUCAUAGACUCUUUUACAUAACUUAAAUGAUUAUCAAAUAAUCUCCUGUACACAAUGAGACGGAGCCGCAUCGCUUUCUGAGCUUUGACACAUUCCUGGAAGAAAUCCAACAGUCUGUAGGAAUCACAUGGCCGCAGUGGCUACAGUACAUUUUUGUCCCGAACUUACACCAUCAAUUAACUUACGAAUCGCUGCAAAUUGCCGUUUUGCAAGAUCCUGCUAGACGCUGUUAAAAUUUCAGGACACUGAGUUUUGGUAGCAGCAUCUUUGAUUUUGCUUCACUUUUCUUGCCUUUGUGUCCUCAGCUGAACACCUGCCAGCACUUGUGACAAACGUGAGCCUGGGAAAAAUGUUAAAUGCACCUCAAGUGUUGACAUGAGCUUUAGAUUUAGACCGAAAUCAUUGACGAGUGGUCCCCGCGGCCUCUGAAAGCGCAGCCCCUGUC